UGGCGCCGGCGGUUGGCACCGGCAGGCCGGGGCGGCGGUUUGAGCGGACCGUCUUGUAUGUCCUGGGCCUUAAUGGCCCUUGACGGCCCGGGGCCUGACUUUUCUCCCCUCUCCCGAAACUCCAGCAACGAAGACGGAGCGGGAGCGGCGGCGCAGGCCCGAGCGCCGCCGGGAGCCGAGGACGGCGGAAUGCAAUUAUGGCUACCCAAGUGAUGGGCCAGUCUUCUGGAGGAGGAGGUUUGUUCACCAACAGUGGCAACAUGGGCAUGGCCUUAACUAACAACAUGUAUGACUUGCAUGACCUCUCCAAAGCUGAGCUGGCUGCCCCUCAGCUUAUCCUGUUAGCCAAUGUCAUCUUAACUGGGGAAGUCAAUGGCAACUGCUGUGAUUAUCUGGUUGGAGAAGAGAGACGGAUGGUGGAAUUGAUGCCUGUUGGCGAUAACAACUUUUCAGAUAGUGAUGGAGAAGGACUUGAGGAAUCUGCUGUAAUGAAAGGUGAAGCUGAUGGGUUAGGAAGCAUGGAACUGAGAAGUAUGGAGCUUAGUGUUGCAGAACCACAGCCUGUCUUUGAGGCCUCAUCAGCUGCCCCUGAAGUCUACAGUUCCUCCGCUAAAGAUCUUCCUCCUGAAAGCUAAAGAUCUUCCUCCUGAAACAUCUGGAGCAGAGGACAAAUGCAAGAACUCAAAGGACAAACCCUUUCUCUGUAAGCCUUGCCAGUGUGAAGCAGAAUCUGAGAAGCAGUUUAUGUAUCAUAUCAGAGUUCACAGUGCCAAGAAGUUUUUGUGGAAGAAAGUGCAGAGAAGCCAAAGCCAGGGAAUCUUGUUCUUCCACUUCGGAAGAGGGAGAUUUCUCGAAGGGCCAUUUGUUGUGACUGCUGUGGCUAUAAUACCAAUCAAUAUGAUCACUAUACUGCACUCUUUAAGCAUCACACUCAGACUGGGGAUAAUGAGCGUGUCUACAAGUGCAUCAUUUGUACUUACAUGACAGUAAACGAGUACCACUGGAGGAAACACUAAAACCAUUUCCUAGGAGAAGUGUACUUAAUGUGGAAAAUGCAGCUACUUUUCCGACAGAAAAAUCAAUUAUAUGCACCAUGUUUGGACUCAUACAGAUUGACUGUCACUGUCAGUGUCACUGUCACUGUGUUGCCAUGACAAAUCUCAAACAUCUGGACUCUGGAGAUCCUCCCACCUCAGCCUUCCCUGGAAUCUUGGU